rnacentral:rRNA from 1 species
AGUGAACGCUGGCGGUAGGCCUAACACAUGCCAGUCGAACGGCAGCACAGUAAGAGCUUGCUCUUACGGGUGGCGAGUGGCGGACGGGUGAGGAAUACAUCGGAAUCUACUUUUUCGUGGGGGAUAACGUAGGGAAACUUACGCUAAUACCGCAUACGACCUACGGGUGAAAGCAGGGGAUCUUCGGACCUUGCGCGAUUGAAUGAGCCGAUGUCGGAUUAGCUAGUUGGCGGGGUAAAGGCCCACCAAGGCGACGAUCCGUAGCUGGUCUGAGAGGAUGAUCAGCCACACUGGAACUGAGACACGGUCCAGACUCCUACGGGAGGCAGCAGUGGGGAAUAUUGGACAAUGGGCGCAAGCCUGACCCAGCCAUACCGCGUGGGUGAAGAAGGCCUUCGGGUUGUAAAGCCCUUUUGUUGGGAAAGAAAGGCAGCAGGUUAAUACCCCGCUGUUCUGACGGUACCCAAAGAAUAAGCACCGGCUAACUUCGUG